GGCGCUGUGGCUGAGUUGGUCAAAGCACCUGCCUUGUAAACAGGAGAUCCUGGGUUUGAUUCCCAGCAGUACUU